AUGGGGCGUCCAUUGUCCGGCGGCGUGGGGCAGCCCAAGCUCCGCAAGGGGCUGUGGUCGCCCGAGGAGGACGAGACCAGGCUCGCCGGGCUGAACCGUUGCGGCAAGAGCUGCCGCCUCCGGUGGAUCAACUACCUCCGCCCCGACCUCAAGCGCGGCUGCUUCUCGCAGCAGGAGGAGGACCACAUCGUCGCGCUCCACCACAUCCUCGGCAACAGGUGGUCUCAGAUCGCGUCGCACCUGCCGGGCCGGACGGACAACGAGAUCAAGAACUUCUGGAACAGCUGCAUCAAGAAGAAGCUCCGGCAGCAAGGCCUCGACCCGGCCACGCACAAACCCACGGCCGCCGCCUUCACGGCCACGGCGGCAUUGCCGGACGCGGAAGAGGAAGACCGCAAGCCCCUUGCCGCGGGUGCGGACGGCAUCCUCGCUCCGAAGCAGCCGACGGUGUUCGACCCGUUCCCGGUGUGCGCCGACUACGGCGCUGGGUUCGCCGACGACCUCGGCGCGGCGAACGCGGCGGCAUUGUAUGGCCGGUUCUGCGGUGGAAACGAGGGCGCGGACGAAGACGCCGGGUUCGGCGCCGCAGACUACAGCUGCGUGCUGGACGUGUCGGAGAACCUGGGCUACGGGGAGAGCUCCAGCAACAGCAGCAACCGGAACUACGGCGGCGAGGUGGGCAGCAUGCUCGACGGCGAGGUGGGAAGCAUGCUCGAUGGCGAGGUGCUACACUGGGCCAAGCCGGAGCCGGCCUUCGCGGAGAUGGAGUAUGAGUUCUCGCUGCCAUGCCAAGAGCAGAGCCUCCUCCCAAAUUUCGAGUUCAACUUGGAACACUACUUCUGA
rnacentral:rRNA from 1 species